GGAAGGAGGAGGAGGAAGAGGAGGGGGAGGACGGGAGGGAAGGAAGCCUUGUAAUAAUCCAGCAUCAUCCUGAAUGAUAACACUGAAUUAUUCAGGAGGCUCCUUAAAAGGGGGGUUAAAUCAAGGCUGAAACAAAAGAGGAGCGAGGCCAUUGUGAGGCCUGGCUCCUUCCAUGCGGAAUCUGGGCAGGAGAAGGGAAGCAGGGCCGGGAAAAGUCCUUCCAGAGUCACCCAGAGGAGCAGAAUGGACUCGGUGGCGUGGCAGGGCAGAGCUGUCCAGAAGGGUUUGAGAUCUCCUAGAGCAGCUAAAAAAACCAAAGCAAGGCGGAGAGCGUGAGAAGAGCCUGAUGAAAUAUUGAAGAUUUGAAGAUGAUAUCUUUAUUUUCCGUUGGGUUU
rnacentral:lncRNA from 1 species